rnacentral:rRNA from 1 species
UACAGAGGGGGCAAGCGUUGUUCAGAAUUACUGGGCGUAAAGGGCGCGUAGGCGGCCCGCUAAGUCGAACGUGAAAUCCCUGGGCUCAACCCAGGAACUGCGUCCGAUACUGGCGGGCUUGAAUCCGGGAGAGGGAUGUGGAAUUCCAGGUGUAGCGGUGAAAUGCGUAGAUAUCUGGAGGAACACCGGUGGCGAAGGCGGCAUCCUGGACCGGUAUUGACGCUGAUGCGCGAAAGCCAGGGGAGCAAACGGG